GGCUCAGGACGAACGCUGGCGGCGUGCUUAACACAUGCAAGUCGAACGAUGAAGCGGUGCUUGCACCGUGGAUUAGUGGCGAACGGGUGAGUAAUACGUGAGUGACCUACCUUUGACUCUGGGAUAAGCCUGGGAAACUGGGUCUAAUACCGGAUACGACCAAUCUCUGCAUGGGGUGUUGGUGGAAAGCGUUAUGGAGUGGUUUUAGAUGGGCUCACGGCCUAUCAGCUUGUUGGUGAGGUAAUGGCUUACCAAGGCGACGACGGGUAGCCGGCCUGAGAGGGUGACCGGCCACACUGGGACUGAGACACGGCCCAGACUCCUACGGGAGGCAGCAGUGGGGAAUAUUGCACAAUGGGCGCAAGCCUGAUGCAGCGACGCCGCGUGAGGGAUGACGGCCUUCGGGUUGUAAACCUCUGUUAGCAUCGAAGAAGCGAAAGUGACGGUAGGUGCAGAGAAAGCGCCGGCUAACUAC
rnacentral:rRNA from 1 species